rnacentral:rRNA from 1 species
AUUGAACGCUGGCGGCAGGCCUAACACAUGCAAGUCGAACGAGUGGCGGACGGGUGAAUAAUGUCUGGGAAACUGCCUGAUGGAGGGGGAUAACUACUGGAAACGGUAGCUAAUACCGCAUACCCUACGAUGUGCCCAGAUGGUAUUAGCUUGUUGGUGGGGUAAAGGCUCACCAAGGCGACGAUCCCUAGCUGGGCUGAGAGGAUGACCAGCCACCCGGGAACGGAGACACGGUCCAGACUCCUACGUGAGGCAGCAGUGGGGAAUAUUGCACAAUGGGCGCAAGCCUGAUGCAGCCAUGCCGCGUGUAUGAAGAAGGCCUUCGGGUUGUAAAGUACUUUCAGCGGGGAGGCGUUACCCGCAGAAGAAGCACCGGCGAACUCCGUGCCAGCAGCCGCGGUAAUUC